CCCCUCUCAGGGAUGCGCCUGGAGAGUUUCCAUUGCUCUACCAGUCUCAGCUAUGGGAGGAAAAGUCAAGCUGAGGCUUACCCAUUCCAUUCCUAGCUUGGCCAGUGGCUAGUGCAUGGAAGGCAAUCUGCUACAAGU